AGGCCCCUUCGGGGGUACUCGAGCGGCGAACGGGUGAGUAACACGUGAGCAACCUGCCCCUGACUCUGGGAUAAGCCCGGGAAACUGGGUCUAAUACCGGAUACGACCAGCCCCUGCAUGGGGUGCUGGUGGAAAGUUUUUCGGUUGGGGAUGGGCUCGCGGCCUAUCAGCUUGUUGGUGGGGUGAUGGCCUACCAAGGCGACGACGGGUAACCGGCCUGAGAGGGCGACCGGUCACACUGGGACUGAGACACGGCCCAGACUCCUACGGGAGGCAGCAGUGGGGAAUAUUGCGCAAUGGGCGGAAGCCUGACGCAGCGACGCCGCGUGAGGGAUGACGGCCUUCGGGUUGUAAACCUCUUUCAGCAGGGACGAAGCUAACGUGACGGUACCUGCAGAAGAAGCGCCGGCUAACUACGUGCCAGCAGCCGCGGUAAUACGUAGGGCGCAAGCGUUGUCCGGAAUUAUUGGGCGUAAAGAGCUCGUAGGCGGUUUGUCGCGUCUGUCGUGAAAGCCCACGGCUUAACCGUGGGUCUGCGGUGGAUACGGGCAGACUAGAGGCAGGUAGGGGAGAAUGGAAUUCCCGGUGUAGCGGUGAAAUG
rnacentral:rRNA from 1 species